GUUCCAGGCUCGCGGAAAAAAGAAACUGUGUCAAGUCUGAAGGCGUUCAGUGCAAGAGCUGGGGAGCUAGAACCCAGGAGCCCGGAGGGACUUAGCACCCCCCUCCAGAGGCAGCGAGAAAGCAGCCGGCUCGAGAGCCUCCACAGUUGCAGUGUUCUCUGCUCUGCAAGAAAAUCUGAGUUGGCGUUUCUGAUUCUGGCAUGUGGCAAGGAGGACCCGAACUGCAAAGCUCUGUCCUGUCUGACUGUGUUCCAGAGUGGACAGUGUGAAGUGCAAGAGGAACAUGGAACUCAGUAGUGUGAGUUCUCAUUCAGCUUUCACCAACUAUAGGACUUUACUUUCUUUUACUUAUUUAUUUUUAUUUUUAAAUGAGGUCACUGGUUUGUGGUGAGGA
rnacentral:lncRNA from 1 species